ACCUCUUGAACGCAUAUUGCGGCCGCAGGAUAUCCUGUGGCCACGCCUGGCCGAGGGUCGGCUUAUAAACUAUCACGACGCACAAUAAGUCGUGGCUUGGAUGUGUGCCAGCUGGCGUGAUUUCCUGCUUCUUUGAAGUGGGGUGCCAGAUCAAUGGCUCCUUCCUAAUGUGUCCAGCUACACCCAAGUCCGUAAAUGAUAAAUAGCGGAUAGGGUUGUGGUGAUGGAUAGUGCUCAGGUCGUGGCUUAAUGAGAACGGUAGAAACGUUCACGCCUGAUGUCAUUGUCUGUUGCCUCGCCCGAAUUUGGACUGGCUCUGUAACUGAUGAUUUUAUAUAUAUGACCCUGACCUCGGAUCAGACGUGAUUACCCGCUGAACUUAAGCAUAUCACUAAGCGGAGGAAAAGAAACUAAC
rnacentral:rRNA from 1 species